rnacentral:lncRNA from 1 species
CUCCCUUCACCCCUCGCAGGGGCGGAAAAAGGAGGUGUGACAUUCACCAGUCCAGGUACUUUUCUAUGUCCAUUUAAGGACGAACGUUUGUUUCAGAGGUAGAGAAUGUGAUGACAAUAGGUCAUUUUCAGUUUUAGCCCUCAUUUUUGUAUUUUGAAACCUCGAAUAACUCCAUUUAGCCUUUCUCAAUUUGCAUGCACAGUCUGUGUUUUCCCCCAAAAGGUUUUUAUGUGAAACAUUGAUAAAAAUGUGAAAUCGUGCCUUAAAAUUCAUUUGAAUUGACUUCGGCCAAUGUUUUGAGCAAACAGACCCGAAUCAGUAUUUUGAUAGUCUCGUUGGGUCCGUAUCAUGAUUUGGGACUUGUGCGUAUGCUCGGAAUUGAAUUCAGAAGUCCCUAGCUUGAUUUGUCAUAAUUUGUUGGAAACUAGAAGUUUAAAUGUUUAAAGAAAUUCUAAGUUUGGCCAUAGUUUGACUUUGUUGCUAAUGAGUCCGAAUUUUGGUUCCAAAACUUGGUAUAAGUUUAUUAUAGUAUUUAUGAUUUGUCUGCAAAAUGGAGCUAAUUUGACGUGAUUCGGUUGUCCGGUUGAAAAGUUGCAUGUUCUUAAGUUUCAUUGAAAAUUUCAUUCAUUUUUGUAUCCGAUUCAUAGUUCUAGGUAUUAUUUUGGUGUUUUGAUCAUGCGAGCACGUUCAUAUGGUGUUAUUACACUUGUGUGCAUGUUUGUCUUGGAGCCCGAGGGGCUCAGGUGAGUUUCGGAUAUGUUACAGAGUGGUUUUUGACUUAGAGUAAUAGCUUAUGCAUUUUGUUUCUGGUGCUGGGGCUGCAGAUCUCGCAUUUACGAGGUGUGGCUCACAAAUGCGAGCCUUACUUUUGCGACUUUUGCGAUCAAAUCAUCUCAUUUGCGAGCAUGGGCUAGGGACUGGGGUUCUCGCAUUUGUGAGUUUUCUGUCGCAUUUGCAAUAAAUUCAGGUUUGCAUUGGCAAAGAAAUUUUUCGCAUUUGCAAUGGCAAUAGAGGUGUGAAUUCUUCACAUUUACGAGGAAUUAUUUGCACUUGCAGGGUUCGCAAUUGAGAACCCUGGGUUGCAUUUGCGAUAUCUGCGCUUUGUCAAAAGCUGAGAAAAAUGGGAAUUAGCUCAUUUCUUUCAAAAUAUCGACCCUAAAUACCCUAGAGGCGAUUGUCUCAAGAGAUUUUCUUCUUGAAUUCAUUGGUAAAUGACUUUAAUCUAUUUCUUUUCAAUUACUCAUUACAUUUCAUAAGUUUUCAAUAUUACAUCUAGGAUUUUCAUGGUAGAAAUUAGGGAUUUGAGUAGAAUCAGAGAUUAUUAUAAAUUUAGAAUUCAGACCUCAAAUUGAGGUCGUAUCUAAAAAUAAAUUACAUAACCGGGAUCGGGGGUGAAUGGGUAUUCGGGUUUUGGUACGAAUCUCGAGUUUUGACCAAGCGAGUCCGGGGUUGACUUUUGUAGACUUUUUCAAUAUUGAACUAAAUUGGACAUCUUUCAUUCAUGGGUAGUUUCUAAACUUAUUUUGAAUCGUUUGGUCAAUAAUUUACUAGAUUUAGUUGAUUUGGAGGCUUGUUCGAAAGGCAAGGUCGUGGUUGAAUUUUGAGUUGGUUGCAGAGUAGCGGCGUAUAUGCAAGGUGACUAGUGUCUAUAUCCCGUCAAUUACUUGUUUCCAUGCCUAUCUGUAUUUCAUUAAUUAUAUCAUUCCAUGUGUUGGUUGUUACAUGCCUUAAAUGCUUCCUAUGCCUUAACUUGCUACUUGUCAUUUAUUAUUCUCGCAUUAUAAAUGUUAAUCCCUUCCAUACUCCCAUGCUUAAUUGAUACUUGCCUUAAUUGUCUUACUUGUAUCCUUUAAUUGUCAUAUAUUUGACUUGUCUUGUUGCUCAAAAUUAGUUGUAGCCUUUCAUGAUUUGGUACGAGAUUCCUUCUUGAUUUGUAGCUUUCAUAUUCGUUAAUCGCAAAGAUUCUUGUGAUUCGAAUUGUUAAAUUGUUGCACUUAUUUAUUUAUUGUUCGGAUUGCACGCCAAAACAUGUAGAAUAAGGGAGGAUUUAUAUUAAUAUGGUGGGAUCGGAUUGCGCGCCGCAAUAGGUGAAAUAAGAGUAAAUUGAUAUGGUAAAAUAAGGGAGAAUUAUGAUAUUGACUCUGAUUAUAUGGUGGGAUCAGGUUGCAUGCCGCAACAUAUAUUACUUAUUAUUAUUUAUAUUUACAUGGUAGAAUAAGGGAGGAUAGUGUUAUAUGGUGGGAUCGGGUUGCGAUGAAACGGUUUAUCUGUUUCUAUUCCUUAAUGUAUUGUUUUGGCUUCGGUACUUGAGACUCUAAGAAUUGGUACUUCUGGUAUUCACUGAUUUUCUUUGAGGAUUGAGUUAUUUCCAUGAGUUAACUGCUUUAUUUUUUCGUAUGUUCCUUUCCUGUUAUUAUUUUAUACUGCGUACAGGUUAUUGAAAGUGACCCGCCUUAGGCUCGGCACUUAUAUAGUACAUGGAGUCGGUUGUACUCAUACUACACUCUGCAUUUCUUGUGCAGAUUUUAGAGUCAGUCUCAUCAUCGAUCAGUAGAUUGCUCAGGUUGACUAUCAGUAUGGAGACUUGAUGUAUAACUGCUCGGCGCUUGCAGUCCUGAAGUGCCCUCCUACUUUAUCUUAGAUGUGUAUUUUCUUUCAGGCAACUUUACUUUCAUUCUGAUCUUUAUCUGUAUUAUUCUAGUAGCUCGUGCACUUGUGACACCAGAUUCGGAGUUGUAUUUAGAUAUCUCAGUUGUUACGGCUUUCAGCACUUUAUUUCUGUUUUAUCUCAGUUAUUUCAAUAAUUGUCAUCAGUUAAAUUUGAUUUAAAAUGGCUUAAAACUAUUUUAAAAUUGGCUUGCCUAGAAAGUGAAAUGUUAGGCGCCAUCACGAUUCCAAUAGUGAAAUUCCGGGUCGUGACAUCCUUAAUUUUAUUUUUGUCCCUUUUUCUCUUGCCCUUUUUUUUUUUUUUGGAUUCUUGGGUCUUGAAUCCAGGGUUUUGGAAUUGGUAUCAUGGGUGGUGAAGUGUGCUUCGGAUAAUCGAAUCCUGAUGGCUGCAAUCAACACAUCAGGGUCAAUCAAAAAGUUUCAAGAAAAAUGUCAGUAAUUAUGAAAUUAUUAAUAGGAUUUACUCAUUAAUCCACCUUGGAAAACAUAUUAUGUUUAAUGUUUUACUUUUCAUUGAUGAUGUGUCCUUUUCUUUGUUGCAGAAGAUGAACACAUACGAUCAAGGAAAGAAAAGAAUUAACAGCAGUAUGCCUCCACAACAAGACACUAUUAGGAUGGUACAAUUCUUGCAUUGUAAUUAGAUCGAGAAUUAAACCUUUUAUGAAAGAAACUAUACGGUUCUAAUGAUUUAAUGAUAUUGGGUCAAUCGAAAUCUUUUUGAUUUUCCUAUUAUCUAUAGAUUAGAUAAAUAAUAGUUAUAAAUAUAUAGUCCUAGACUUUCUGCAAUUAUGUACGACUAGGUAAGUGGGUAUCAU